rfam:Felis catus isolate Cinnamon breed Abyssinian chromosome B4, whole genome shotgun sequence.
GCCUGGGUGGCUCAAUCGGUUAAGUGUCCGACUUCGGCUCGGGUCAUGAUCUCGCAGUCCGUGGGUUCGAGCCCCGCAUCGGGCU